rnacentral:rRNA from 1 species
AGUCGAGCGCGGGAAGCGAGUGGAAGCCCUUCGGGGCGGAUACUCGUGGAACGAGCGGCGGACGGGUGAGUAACACGUGGGCAACCUACCUGUAAGACCGGAAUAACCCCGGGAAACCGGGCUAAUGCCGGGUAACCGUUCGGUUCACCUGAACCGAACGUAAAAGGAUGGCUUCUCAGCUAUCGCUUACAGAUGGGCCCGCGGCGCAUUAGCUAGUUGGUAAGGUAACGGCUUACCAAGGCAACGAUGCGUAGCCGACCUGAGAGGGUGAUCGGCCACACUGGGACUGAGACACGGCCCAGACUCCUACGGGAGGCAGCAGUAGGGAAUCUUCCGCAAUGGACGAAAGUCUGACGGAGCAACGCCGCGUGAACGAUGAAGGCCUUCGGGUCGUAAAGUUCUGUUGUGAGGGAAGAACAAGGAUCGUGCGAACAGAACGGUCCCUUGACGGUACCUCACGAGGAAGCCCCGGCUAACUACGUGCCAGCAGCCGCGGUAAUACGUAGGGGGCAAGCGUUGUCCGGAAUUAUUGGGCGUAAAGGGCACGCAGGCGGUUCCUUAAGUCUGAUGUGAAAGCCCGUGGCUCAACCACGGAGGGCCAUUGGAAACUGGGGAACUUGAGAACUGAAGAGGAGAGUGGAAUUCCACGUGUAGCGGUGAAAUGCGUAGAUAUGUGGAGGAACACCAGUGGCGAAGGCGACUCUCUGGUCGGUUUCUGACGCUGAGGUGCGAAAGCGUGGGUAGCA